rnacentral:tRNA from 1 species
GAUCAGAUGGCCGAGUGGAUAGGCGGAGGUUAGCAAGGCCUUUAACGGUGGUUCAACUCCAUCUCUGAUCU